UACACAGAGAUCAAUAGGUGUAUAAAAACUAAGUCAGCAAAAGUAGAUUCAGAAAGAUAUAUCCAGCAGCACAUAGCCUCAAUAAAGUGGCGGCCAGAUGAAGAUGCCAAGAAAUUUCAAGUUAAGACCAAGCAAUCAUAUCAAAUGUUGUUCCUUGCACGCAGCAUUUAAUUUUCCAGCAUCAUGAGAAAAAUGAAAAAUGUGUCUCAAGUUAUUUUCUAGAGGGACAUAUGCGGCAGUCCAGCCGCCUUCAGCCCAGGCCCAAGGAACCGGAACAGGGAAAACCCCUGUUCCUUCUUCCUGGGAGCGAAGCUGCCGCGGUAUCGUGGCCACUCCGCGGCAAUUGAACUCCCCGACCAUGCCGGGGAGUUAGAACGGCCGCCAGCCGUUCCGUGGCGCAGUUGCCACGAUCCUCGCGGGCGGCGCAACCGCCCGCGAGCCUAUCCACUCGAGAGAGGCCUAUAAAACUCCUCAUCCUCAGCCCUCUGAGAACACCAAGCUCUCCUCUCCUCGCUCUCCUCUCCUUUCUCCCCUCCCUCUUCCUCCUCCGGUGGCCGCGCGGGCCACCUCAGUCAAGUCCAGCCACCCCGGGUCCCUAGUUUUCUUUGAUUCCCUCCGCUUUCGAGCCCUGUUCCGAGAUCUACUUCUUGUUCGGAGCUCUCUUGCCGUCGCCGCCGCUAUCCACCGAACCUAGCGCUCCUCGGAUGAGACCCGCCGCCUCCGCCGAUGCACCGAUCUAGAGGCAUGAUCACACGACAUUGGGGAGCACGCUAGAUUUCUGAGAUUUUAUUCAAUUAUUGGCAUUUUAGUUAGAUUAGCUAGAUUAUUUGAUUUAUGUCAGCACAUGUUACUUUGAAAUUAUUGUAAGAACUAUUUGAUUAAAUUAAUAUUUAAAUCAUUAGAACUACAUAACUUACAUCACAUCAUUUUAGAAGAACAUCUAUCCAUAGCCCACUGCUACUCUAACGAGACAUCAUGAAUCACUGGAGCUAAUUUGUAGUGUUAUCUACAUCUGAUUCCUUGCUUAACCUACUUGGUACUGACUUGGCAUCUCUGCCUCUAACCUUUCUACAACCAACUCGUCGCCUGUUCGAUCCAUACAAAGCUCUUUGCGCCACCACUCGGGAGUAGGAAUACGCCGCACUCGUGCUGUUUUGCACUCCUUCAGCAGCCCACGUACCUGCUGCUGUCGAAUGACUCUGGUUGGCAUUCGAGGCCUCGAUGGCAUCGUUCAUGCUUCAAUGGCGAGCUUAUGUGGCAGGAGGGGGAGGAACAGCUGGAGUCUCUUUAGCCUGAUGAUGCGGAGCCAGCCACCGGUGUCUGGUUGUUCUUAUAGAGGCAGCUAAAGGUGGAGGAAUCCGAUCAUUUGGGCGGCCGUAAGAAGACAAACAGUGAUGACCGAAAGCAGGAUCUUUUUAUCAUGACUUCAAUUGCGAAGGUUGAGUAUUCUUUAGAUAUCUCGGAAGAUAAGAAAGUGCACCGGCCAGCAGGGAUAUAUCUUUCUAGAAGAUGAAAAAGUGGGAGGAAUCUGAGAAUGUUUGCCUUCCACUAUCUUGCAUGCUGUGACUUGGGAUCAUUCCUUGCCUAUUGGUAGGCUCACAAAAGAUUCAGUGCUUGAUGUGGUGGGCCCACAACAAAUGGGUGAUGGAAGAAGACAUGGAGCUGAGACGCUUUACUGGGGCCUUGGCUUUGAUUCUUUGAACAUUUGCUUUUGAAUUGCAAGACUGAAAUGAGAACCUUUCCCUGAAAGGGAUGAAGGUUUGUACCUGUUUUUUGAGCUUUUUCUGCACCUUUCCCACCUCAAGCAGCCCAUCAUUCUGUAAAAUUUGUAAACCAAGAAACGAGCUUAUGCCACAAAGAUGCCAUGGAU